rnacentral:lncRNA from 1 species
AUGAGUUGUUCCAGGUGACAUUGACUCCCCCCCACUGCCAACCUCAUCUUCCUCCCCACCUGCCCCAGACCGCUGCCCUAGGUAGUGAGUAGUUACUGAAGUUCUAGGGCAUUUCCCAGACAUUGCUGCAUUUCAUCCUCACACCUUAGAAAGAUGAUUAUUACAAUUUCCUCUUUUCCAAAUGAAGAAACCAAGUCUUGGUAGAAUUUUGAGAAAGAACAGAAAUGCUCAAUUAAAAGGAAGCAGCACCCAAUCACCAUGCCAGAGAAGAAACAGCUCUCAAGGACACUGGACCUGCUGGACCUUCAGUCUGUGGUCUCCCGGGGCUUUCGGAACAACAAGGAAGGAAAGUUAAAUCGAUUGGAAACCAUCACAGCUGAGGGGUAUUGCCAAACUGAAGACGUGAUAUCAGCUCAGGUAUCGAUUGCUUUAAUGUGUUCUCUGUAAGAUGGCCACAGAAAGGGAGGAAGAAAAUGGAGGAUUGGCCGUCACCUCUAAGGGCUGGGGACUGUCCAUCAGGUGUGUAUCCUGGAGGAACAAUGAAACACAGGUUGGUGAGUUUUCACUUUGUCUCUGCCACUGUUAAGUCAUGACAUUGAGAGAUAAACUGGGCCCACUUAACCCCACUAUUUAACCUCAGAACUGAUUCCAGGAAAGCUACACGUGUGCUUGUCGCUGACCGAAGCCCAAAUCUCUUACUGAAGAUAAGCAC